CAGUCAUUUGUAUACCAUUACGUACUACAAAAGUUAUAUGUUUGCAUAAACAAAGGUUUUAGAACACAUCUUUGUUUGUUGAAGCUUUUGUUUGAGCUUUCAUGUUAGUUUGCCCACUGUAAACAUUCAUAGUUGUGAUUCUUGCAGGCAUUGUAUGUUAUAAACUAGUCAUUAAUGAUGGGGCCCAUCUGGACUUGCAGUAUGAAACGUGCCAUCUCAGACUAAAAGAUUUCUUAAACAGAGUAAAUCAUUAUUAUUCAAAAUAUGUUAUGUAUAAAUUGUGUACUGGUGUAUAAUCCUGAUAACUAAAUAUUUGCUUGGACUAUAACGUAUUAACUUUUUCAUGAAAAUAAUAAUUUAACGCUUUCUUUCCAAUGUUACCAUCAGUGAUGAAGUAAUUGUCUUUAUGAGGUAAAUCUCUUUUCUCAUGUCAGUAUUACAUAUCUCUAAAAUCAAGGUAGAAUUCAUUUAAUUUUGUGGUCUCUGCAGUCUGGGGGUGCCCUUCAGCGAAUGAGGAAAGUGAAGCAAGAGUCCCUUAACAGAAAUACGCAGAAGGCAUACUUAAUGGUGGCAAUGUCACCUGUUCUGAUUGUAUUACGCUGAGGUGACAAGUCAUGGGAUACCUCCUAAUAUCGUAUCAAACCUCCCUUUGCUCAGCAGAGUGCAGCAACUCGACGUGGCAUGGACUCGACAAGUGAUCGGAAGUUUCCUGCAGAAAUACUGAGCCAUGCUUUUUCUGUAGCCGUCCAUAAUUGCAAAAGUGUUGCCGGCAGGAUUUUGUGCAUGAACUGACCUCUCGAUUAUAUCCUACAAAUGUUUGAUGGGAUUCAUGUAGGGCAAUGUGGUGGCCAAAUCUUUCAUCUGAAUCGUCCAGAACGUUCUCGUGAACGUUCCAGGUGAACUCCAUCUACAGCAACAGGGUGGACUGUGAAUACGUCAGUGGCUGAAGCAAGUCAGCCGUAUGCUAUGACAAACAAAAUAUGUUUGAAACAUGCCUACUGAAGAAUCAAAAUAUGUACUGUUAGUUGCCUUUGUGAUCAUGUCUCUUAUCGGAUGAAUAAUUUGGCAAAUAAACUAGUUUAAAACUA